CGCACAUGCGCACAAUGCUUGUUUACUGGAAAAUUCCUGCAGGCGCAGCUGAAGCCAGCGCCAUCUUGUAAUGGCGAUUGCGGCUCUCCACAAGGGUGGGGUUGGGAAUGAGAAAUGGGAUGUGUGGAGAAAGGAGAAACUGAGAUCAUGACUUAUUGUAUGAAACAAUUGAAUGUGAUAUCAGAAAAGUCCAGAGCAACAGGGAUUCCAGGGGCAUAUAUACAAGGCAGAAAAAUGCAAUUGACAAGCUCUAGAAAAAGGAUAACCAGAGAGGAACCAUUCACAUCCUGUCUCUUAUCAACCAGCCUGAAGUCCCUGAGACCUAGUUAGGGCUGUCAUUCUAAGGGAGGGGUAGAGGAAAGAGAGAUAAGAACACAGGGGAGGUACCAACAGA
rnacentral:lncRNA from 1 species